CACACACAACCGAAUUCUUGGUACAAAGGAGAUUAAUUCCCCCGGGAGGGACAAUAGGGGUAGGGUGGGGGGCUGCCUUUGUAUCAGGCAAAAACAGCAGCCAGUGUGUCUGCAGAAGUGGUUUUUCAGGAGAAAAAAGGGGAAGUCUGUGUUAGAAUGAGUUGGUAAUUCCUGAUUGAAUGUGUUGGCCAGUGUACCCAAAUAAUGCAUUUUUGAUGUCUUGACCUUGGAGUUUUAGUCAGGCAUAAGGAAAUGGCCAAACAAGGGACUAGACCUUGGUGGCUAGCUUUAGGAAUGUAAUCUAAAUGGGUUAGCAAGGGAGAGGGAAGGGGAAGGGCAAGGCCUGCUGGUGCCAUGUUUGCCGUGGUUGGGCCUGUUAGAGAGCCCUUCAGUAUGGUCAACUGAUUUUGGGUGGUGGUACCAAAACUAGUCAGGAGGGAAAGGAGAUGUCUUUUGAACAGAUGAGGAUGAGAAACACUCAAAAGGGGGGAAAGUAGAAUCUUCACCUAGCCCCCAACAUUGACUCGAGAGAAUCCAGGACUUAAUAAAAACACCCAGUGUUGAGAAGGAAGUGUGGAACAAAAGCUCAUGCUGUUGGAUUGGACAGGGACAAAACAUCCAGCAGUGAGAGAGAACCAAAGUGGACUUCAUGGAAGGUAAAAAGCCCUGUGCAUCAAAAGAUGCCAUCAGUAGUGACGUUGAGCAGAACGCACUGACAAAAGUCACAUAUCUGACACUAGAAUACAGAGAAGGCUUGAAAGAAAGCCAGUAAAACAGGCCAGUUAGAUAAGGUCAUGAAAGGCUGGUUCUCUAAGAUGAGCGAUGCAUGCAAAGAUGUCCAACACUCCUGGCCGUUAAAGAGGCGGGAACAAAACCCAAGGAGAUACCACGUCUCACCCACUAGGAAGUCUCCUGUUAAAAACAAAAGUAAAUGACAUUGAGAGAGAGAGAGAGGAGAAGCUGGACCCCAUGUGCCUUGUAGUGGGGAUAGAAGAUGCUGCAGCCUCUGUGGACACGAAAUGAGAUGUAUCAUUCAGGCUCUUUACAGACAGCUUUCCUCAAGAAUACCUCACAGAAAUUUUCCAUGCCAACCCCUGUGGCUCCUGCUAAUUCCUUCAAGUAACUACACAGCAUAAUGCAGCCAUGCCAAACUUUAGCCCCCCACUGUCACAGCAUGGGGCCACUUUUGACUAUUUUUGUCACUACAGUCACUAAUGGCACAAAGUCACAACACUUAAAUAUAUGUGUUAACCGGUGUAUCUGUGCUUCUUCAGUUUGAAAUUAAUUUCCUAUACAAAGAUGUAACAACAUUAGUGAUCCAAGAGAGGUUAUGUAAUCCGGCAUUGCUGUCAACAGAAUAUAAAUGGUGUGAAAAAGUUGAUUACAAUAACUCCCGAACAGGGUCUUUGAUGAAAUGGAGCCAAUAAAAAGAAACGAUAUGGACUAAAUAA